CCUACGGGAGGCAGCAGUGGGGAAUUUUGGACAAUGGGCGCAAGCCUGAUCCAGCCAUGCCGCGUGUGUGAAGAAGGCCUUCGGGUUGUAAAGCACUUUCGGACGGAACGAAAUCGCAGGGGGUAAUAUCCCCUGUGGAUGACGGUACUGUAAGAAGAAGCACCGGCUAACUACGUGCCAGCAGCCGCGGUAAUACGUAGGGUGCGAGCGUUAAUCGGAAUUACUGGGCGUAAAGCGUGCGCAGGCGGUCUCGCAAGUCGAGUGUGAAAUCCCCGAGCUUAACUUGGGAAUUGCGCUCGAAACUAUGGGGCUAGAGUGUGGCAGAGGGAGGUGGAAUUCCACGUGUAGCGGUGAAAUGCGUAGAGAUGUGGAGGAACACCGAUGGCGAAGGCAGCCUCCUGGGCUAACACUGACGCUCAUGCACGAAAGCGUGGGGAGCAAACAGGAUUAGAUACCCCAGUAGUC
rnacentral:rRNA from 1 species